AUGACCUCCCCUGACUUCUCUGGUCUCUAAUGUUCUUUUCAUCCUGAAGUUUCUCACAUUUAUCUUUAUCUCCACAGGGUACUUAAAUUGAGCUACUAUGGAGUGGGGGAAAGAGAGAAGGAAAGAAACUCCUUUCCCUAAACCUUCUCCUGCCUGAGAGUUUUAGGAAAGCCCAGUAUCACUGUGGUAGAAUGGAAUCACAAGCAGUUCGUGAAAAGAGUUAGAGAGAAGCAAAAGGCCAUUAAGUAACACCAACCCACCUUCCUUCCACUGGAUUCCCAACAUCAUCCUCAGGUGCUCAAAGAGACGAUUUUCACCAUCACAGUCCCCACCUGCGAAACUCUCGCACAUACCUUAAAGCCUGCACUACUGGUGCACUGGAGCAGGACUGGGCCCCG